rnacentral:rRNA from 1 species
GACGAACGCUGGCGGCGUGCUUAACACAUGCAAGUCGAACGGAAAGGCCUGCUUUCCCUUGUGGAUUGCGGGUACUCGAGUGGCGAACGGGUGAGUAACACGUGAUUGAUCUGCCCCCAACUUGGGUAUAAGCCUGGGAAACUGGUUCUAAUUCCCGUUAGAACUCCAGGGUGGGGCCUGUGGUGGAAAACGAUUUCCUGGUGUUUGGGGAUGAGCUCGCGGCCUAUCAGCUUGUUGGUGGGGUAAUGGCCUACCAAGCCGGCGACGGGUAGCCGGCCUGGGAGGGGGGACGGCCACAUUGGGACUGGGAUAAGGCCCAGACUCCUACGGGAGGCAGCAGCGGGGAAUAUUGGACAAUGGGCGGAAGCCUGAUGCAGCGACGCCGCGUGGGGGAUGACGGCCUUCGGGUUGUAAACUCCUUUCGACCGCGAGGAAGCCACCUGGUUGGAAGGGUGGUGACGGUAGUGGUAGAAGAAGCACCGGCUAACUACGUG